AUCUCAUCCAAACCUACAGGGGAGUCCCAAGCUCCACCCCCAAAACAAGAGCCAAUGGAACAUUCCACCCAAGAGCAACAACCAGGAAAUAAGCCGGAGAGGGAAAACCAAGGCUUGGCAUGCUGUUGUCUCACAUCUGUCAUGAAGAAGAAGACGUAA
rnacentral:lncRNA from 11 species